rnacentral:rRNA from 1 species
GAGAGGGUGACCGGCCACAUUGGGACUGAGACACGGCCCAAACUCCUACGGGAGGCAGCAGUGGGGAAUAUUGCACAAUGGGGGAAACCCUGAUGCAGCGACGCCGCGUGAGCGAUGAAGUAUUUCGGUAUGUAAAGCUCUAUCAGCAGGGAAGAAAAUGACGGUACCUGACUAAGAAGCACCGGCUAAAUACGUGCCAGCAGCCGCG